CCUGACACCGCCACCCCAGUAGAGCUGAGAAUCUCGAGUCUCCUGACCUCUCUUCGUUUUCCCAUCACAGUGAACUUCAGGUGAAGGGCGAGGUAUUCGUGCCUACAAAGAUCUACUAACGACCUUCUUGAUGUUUAAACGCAGACUGUCUGGUCCACGUGUCUUAACCUGCGCCCUGAACCCAAAUACGGACAACGAGAAGGUGGUGGCGAGGAUUUGGUGGCACAUGGGAGAUGGCUUGCUUCACUCUAUAUGCCAAAUAGUUCUGCAUCCCUGUCAUAGUUCCGCCAGGACAGACCUUUGCAGGCAGUGGUGAUCCAGGGAAGCAAAGAUGGAUGCCCAGUCACCUAGAGAAGCUUGGAGAAAGCAGCAUUCAGAGAACAACUAUCUGGUGGCCAAGGUUGAAGUUCCAUACUGGUCCAUGUGGCAGCAGAAGAGUCUUGGAUAAACCACAAGAAAAAGACAGAAAAAGUUCUCAAAUAAUUGCAAGCACUUGCAUUACUCAGGGCACUUGGGUUGCAAACAACAGAAAUAAAUUCUGGAUAACUGAA